GGUUGUAUCUCAGAGGUAGAGCACUUGCCUUGUAUGUGUGGGACCCUGAGUUCGAUACUCAGUACCA
rnacentral:tRNA from 1 species